rnacentral:rRNA from 1 species
UACGUAGGGGGCAAGCGUUGUCCGGAAUCAUUGGGCGUAAAGAGCGUGUAGGCGGUUUGAUAAGUCUGCUGUGAAAGUCCAAGGCUCAACCUUGGGAUGCCGGUGGAUACUGUCGAACUCGAGUCCGGAAGAGGAGUGUGGAAUUCCUGGUGUAGCGGUGAAAUGCGCAGAUAUCAGGAGGAACACCGAUGGCGAAGGCAGCACUCUGGGACGUGACUGACGCUGAGACGCGAAAGCGUUGGGAGCGAACAGG